rnacentral:misc_RNA from 1 species
AAGAAGCUGUUGGUUCUUCAGGGACGACAAAGACAAUGGAAAACACAUGCAGAACUUCCAGACAAGAAAUGGAGAAUCCGUCCAAGAAACUUGAUUCUGCAGAAAAUAGAGGGAGGGAAAUUGGGACAAAUGCAAUAGAAGACAUGCCCUGUGUCUUCACUAUAGGAGAUGGUCCUAAUGGGAAGAGAGUAGAAGGCAUUCUGUACAAGU